ensembl:lncRNA
CAGCAGCAUUAUUUGAGAAUGAUCCAAAGUUCAUAUUUUGCUUUAAAACAUCAGACUGUCUGCACAAAUGAGUUUUACAUAGUGCCAUGGAUUUGGAUUAGUGAACUAAUAAAAGUAUCAGAAAAUGGGAAUUUACAAGGAUGGAGGGCCACCAGAGCAGCUUUAGCAGGAACCUCUGGAACCAGGGAGGUUGAGAGAGAAGCUCUGGGACUGGAGCAGCUUGAUCACCAGAUCUUCCUGAGGCUAUGAAAGGAAACACUGGGGCAGCCUUGGCUGGAGUUUCUUUGGCAGCAUGAAUCUCUGCACCGCCAUGAGAGGAACCUUUGUGGUGGGCAACAGUGUGACCCGGAUGGUCAUGCAGCUGGAGCUCCAUGUUCUAAGGUUUCAGCAGCAAGAACUGGAACAGGAAGCUCUGGGACCAAGGUUGCUCUGAAAAGGCAUACUGUCAAGUGACCUCUUUGGUGCCUGUCACUCUGACCUCUCUUAUCUCAGUAGGUUCUGGAGCAGCAGCAUCAGGAUUGUUUAGGGUGGCUUUCACAGUGAUUUCUGGAGCCACUAUGACAGAAUCCAUGAGAGCCGUUUGCCUGUGGCAGGAAGCGGCAGUUUGAGGGACCUCUGGGACCAGCAGAGGUGUGAAAUGGGCAUCCUGGGACUUUCAAGUCGGGACCCUCUCUGGAGCCUCAGCAGGUUCUUGAGCAGUGACAUGAACCUUUAUGGCAGCCUUAACAUGCCUUUCUGGCGCGGCCCUGACAAGAUCUCUCAACCCAAGGCAGCUGAGAAAGGGGGAUCUGUGGCCAUGACUGAGUGCUCUCAUGCAUCUGUGACAUGGAUCUCUGGGAUCCAGACACCAGCGGCAGGAACUUCUGGAGCAGCAAUGAGAGGGGCUUGACAGGGAGCUCAGGGUGACUCCAUUAUUACAGUUUUUCUCAGUCGCUUUGGUUCAUUUCUCGAAUCAUCCUUAAGCCCCGUUCACACCGCCAGCGACACACAGCGACAGAGCAACAUAAUCCUAUUCAUUUUCAAUGGAGCUCUGGCGACUUCCGGCGACAUAAGUGACAGUGACCAUUGGCGAAGGAAUGUGGCGUGUCAAGCGAUGCGAGUCAAGUGACAAAAGUUCAGAAUUCUUCAACUUUAUGCAAAUAAGAAGCAAAUUUCUCGAGCGACAACCGAUGGGAGUGAAGUCAGUGGAGAGCACGUGACUCAUCUGCUGUAGUGCAGUGUUACGGGGUAACUAGGCAAACAGUAGUGGGAACACCCAGUAGUGACCUCAAUUGCCAGCCACAAGUGACAAACAGUGAAAAAGUCGCUGGUGGUGUGAACGGGGCUUUAAUAUAGACCCCUUAAUCGCCUACGUCACUGUGACGUCACCGCUCUAGCUGGAGGCAAAACAUAAGGAAGAACUCAUAGCAGGCACGCUAAAAGUUUGAGGUUUUGACUUUAAAAUGUCGUCUUGUUGUGUUUUUGGCUGCCAGAAUAGAAGGAACAGCACUUUUGGUUCAAAACUAAAGUUUCACCGGAUCCCGGCCGACAUUCCUUCACAGAAAUCAAGAAUACAAUUGUGGUUGAAUGCAAUAAGGCGUACAGACUAGACAGAGACGAUCAUAAAUAAUGCUCGUGUUUGCAGUGCACACUUCAUAUUAGGUAAAAUAAUCUAUGCAUAUGUACUGGUGUGUUGGUUUUAUCUAGUACAAAUCAGCAAGUUUAUGUUUUAUAGGUGAAAAGUCGCCAACCUUCAGCGCACUAGCUAUCUUAAAUGUUAAACAAACAUACAGCGAUAGAUGUGUGUGCCAUCCUUUGAAUGGUCUCUUAAAAUAAUCCACAUUGCUAAUCAUAGUUAGCCCAGCGAUAGGUUACAUUAGACAAUAAGCCUUGACCAAAUUCCCCAAACCACCCGAAAGUAAUUCAUAUGUUGUCUAGGAAAUAUCCAAAACCUGGUUAAAAUGUUUCCAAUGAGAACAAGAUACAAGAACUACACCAGGCUUAGCUAAAAAUAAAUAAAUAAAUAAAUAAGGCUACUGUAAUGUUAUCCACUCGUCAUUAUAUUUUGGUCAGAUAACCAGUUUGGUCAGUGAACUGAGUGAUCAGCUGAAUUAAUUGAUAAAUGUAUGCUAACUCCCACUUUUUUUACUAUUAUUUUUUUUGUCACGGUCCCGCAGAGUCAGUGACUGUACAUAUUCGGACAGCUCCGAAACUUCUUCUGCAUCCAUGUUUAAUAAAUCCCUCCUAAAUCGUGCUAGUUUACGCUUGUCUACAUUGCGUCUGCGCCUCUUUUUGCCUCCAGCUAAGCCCCACCCACCCGCAGACGUUGCAAUGUUUACAAACUUUUAAGGGGUCUAUUUGCAAAGAAGUAUGUGCAUUUCUCAAAACAAUUGGUACAAACAGCACCACACAAUGGAUUACCUGCAAAAGCCUGUAACUUACUUAAAAUCUUUAGUUUAUCUCUCAAAAGUACACACUAAAAAAAGUUGGGUUAAAAAUAACCCAACAAGUAACCCAACUAUGGGUUGGUAUAGCACCUAUCCAACUGUGGGUUAUUUUUAACCCAAUGAUUGGGUUAAAAGCCAGUUGGGUUAAAAAUAACCCAACAGUUGGGUUAACUAUUUACUUUUAUUCAUGAGAUUAUU